GCCGAAUGGUUCUUAUCCGCCAUAACAUUCUAUGUUUCUGAGUGCACUCUCUCUUUUUCAUUUUUGCAAAAAGUGCAGAUUUCAAUAGAAAUUGUCCCUUUUGUAAAUUAGACUGGUAAGACUCCUUUGGCUUUCAAACUGAAAACAGGUCCUGUUACUUCCUGGUUUCAUUUGCCAAGUGGAGCUAAACUCAAGAGACAGCAAUUGCUCAGAGCACCUGCCUUGCGAAGACUUCUCAUUGAGCAGCAUUAGGAAGUCUGUGAUUGCUUGCAAAGGCAGCAGAGAAAUCAAG